GGCAGAAACAGAGGAUGCUGGAGCGCAGCUCACUUCUCCUUGCAGCUCCCGGACGGCUCUCUGCCCGCUGCCGCUGCGCUUCGUAUGGCCGCACACCUGGGCCCCCCCGGUGUGGGUCCUGCCUGUGGGUCUGCACAGCCACGGCACAGACUGAAACCUCCCUCACGUUGUGGAGAAGCAUUGAGAGACAGAGGCAGAAGAAGCUGAAUGUUUCUACAACCCUGCAGCUCUUUUUUAGAACUACUGAAUCUGAAGUGUACUGAAUGGGGUGAGUAUUUGUGCUUAUUUUCAGCUCUGUUAAUUGAGGAGGGUGGCUGUCCUUGCUUUAACCUGCUUUCUCUGCUGAAGUCAUUUUGCCUCAUAAGCCCCAUGGAGAUUUGAGACGCAAAGCCAGUUUAUUUCUGCAGUGGUCCCACUUUGUUCAGAAAUAUUGCCAAAGGCUUAUUUGGAAACCCUUCUCAUAGGAAAUAGGAACAUUUGGUACUUUGCAAAGACCGAAAAGACUCAAAAUAGAAAGUACAGUUACCAACUGUGAGUAUACUACCUCCCUUCAAAUUUAACAUCUGAGGAGAAAGCCCAAUAAAAAUAAAAAAAUAUUCAUCAGAUAUUAAAAUGUGGUGUGACUCUACGUAUUGAUAUAAUUAUUGGUUAAUUGAUUGUUAUUACAUAUGACAUUUUCUGAUACGGGCGUUACCACACAUUCCAUAGUAAAAUGUUAAAGAAAAAUACUAUUUUAGGGUAUACUUUCAUGCUGCAUUUUAUGCCUGAAAAUAUAGAAGUCUUCACCAUGAUCAAAGAGGAUGGGCUAUUCACAACUGCCUAUUUUGAAAAAAAAUCUCAAAUUUUUACAAAUUUGUAAGAAAUUGAAGUAUGUGUUGUUAUGCUGGAAUGCCUCCUGUUAAGUGGGAUGCAGAGGUGACUGACGGACAGGUUUUUUAUGACUACCCUUCACGAUUGCUUCAUGCUUUCAAAAGAGAACAGUGUCAUUAUUUUACAUGAUCCUCCCCACAGCAAAGAUGAAAUCUAUCUGUCCAGAAGGACUCCUGGGAAACAAACAGUUUUUUGUCAGUGUUCAUCUGCUGUCAUGGUGUCCCCAGAAGUUUCAUGAAACAGAUACUUCAACAGUAAUAGAACAGCGAAGAAGUAUAACCAUACCAGCAGCUGAAUUUCCUACCCUGGGUAGCUGAGUGGAACUGUGCAUGGCCACAGUGGUGCAGGGAGGAGGCAGUGCUCGGGAUUAGAAUUUAAGCUUGUAGGGGAAAAUGAGAAAUUUCUUCCUUGAAUGCAGUGGGAUUCUGUCCUUCAGAGGAUCCCACCCAUGUCAUCAUAUAGUGUGCUUCUAUUUAGACCAUACAGCAAAUCUGUUCUGGUAUUCCCAUUAAUAGUGUUUAUUUGUUAUUUAUUGGAGGUCUUCAUCAAAACAAUAAAGCAAUUAUUUUGGCAUUUCUCCACUAGCUGUGCCUUGGUGCUUGCAGAUCUGAUCUGCAGGCCAUAAUGUUAACUAAACCAUCAAAUAACAGUAAAGUAUUCUAGAUCCUAAAGAUGCUAUAUCACAGCCCUUCGGAGAAAUACAGCCAUAUGCUAUAGGAAAACCAGUGCCCAUUUUUAGCACAAGCAACGCCGAGAUACAAAUCAUAUCACACAGAGUCAGCGUUAAUUAAGUCAGGCACCUACUGUUUGCCUAAGUUUGCAACAGCUAUUAAUUUGAAGGACUGCUGUAGCACUAAGAAAAGAUAAUUAACAAAUGUAGCAUUUCUUGACAUGAUAAACACAAUU